rnacentral:rRNA from 1 species
AGCGUAUAUUAAAGUUGUUGCAGUUAAAAAGCUCGUAGUUGAAUUUCGGGGUCAGUAGGUUGGUCGUGCCACCGGUACGUACUGGUCUCACUGAUUCCUCCUUCCUGAUGAGCUGUAAUGCCAUUAAUUUGGUGUUGCAGGGAAUCUGGACUGUUACUUUGAAAAAAUUAGAGUGUUUAAAGCAGGCUAACGCUUGAAUACAUUAGCAUGGAAUAAUGAAAUAGGACGUUCGAUCCUAUUUUGUUGGUUUCUAGGAUUGACGUAAUGAUUAAUAGGGAUAGUUGGGGGCAUUAGUAUUCAAUUGUCAGAGGUGAAAUUCUUGGAUUUAUUGAAGACUAACUACUGCGAAAGCAUAUGCCAAGGAUGUUUUCAUUAAUCAAGAACGAAAGUUAGGGGAUCGAAGACGAUCAGAUACCGUCGUAGUCUUAACCAUAAACUAUGCCGACUAGGGAUCGGAUGAUGUUAAUUUUUUAAUGACUC